rnacentral:rRNA from 1 species
UACGGAGGGUGCAAACGUUGCUCGGAAUCAUUGGGCGUAAAGCGCACGUAGGCGGCCUGAUAAGUCGGGUUUGAAAGCCCUGGGCUCAACCCAGGAAGUGCACUCGAAACUGUCAGGCUUGAAUAUGGAAGAGGGUCGCGGAAUUCCCGGUGUAGAGGUGAAAUUCGUAGAUAUCGGGAGGAACACCAGUGGCGAAGGCGGCGACCUGGGCCAAUAUUGACGCUGAGGUGCGAAAGCGUGGGGAGCGAACAGG